rnacentral:misc_RNA from 1 species
UCGGAACAUCUCGUAGAGAUGAUACGGAAUAACGUGACAUAUUGUAUUCAGUUUUGAAUGUUUAUUUUAAACAUUUAAAUAUUUAAUGGGCCUGUAGCUCAGCUGGUUAGAGCGCACGCCUGAUAAGCGUGAGGUCGGUGGUUCGAGUCCACUCAGGCCCACCAUUAAAUUUGUACAUUGAAAACUAGAUAAGUAAGUAAAUAGAUUUUACCAAGCAAAACCGAGUGAAUAGAGUUUUAAAUAAGCUUGAAUUCAUAAAAAAUAAUCGCUAGUGUUCGAAAGAACACUCACAGAUUAAUAACUAUAUUAGAUUAAGUUAUUAAGGGCGCACGGUGGAUGCCUUGGC